UGUCAAUUGAGUGUUGUUUUUUUUUCUUCCCUGGCGAAAACGCUAGUCUCGGUCGUAUUUGUGAAGGAUUCUCGCUUCUAACAGAAACCCGCACAGUGCCAAAUACCUGGGACUUAAAAUACGAAAGAGGGGAAGGACAGUGACACAUUGUUUCGACGAAAUCGUUGAUGAGUUUGGGAGCGUAACUGUGUUUUUUUUUUUCGAUUACGAGAUCCAAUCCAAGUCUGUCUAGACAGGUAAAGACACUGCAUUCAAUGAGGACAGCCCAUUCAGUUAUCUCAGUCGUUGACUCGCACGAGAAAGGGAGAGAAAAAAAAAACAACCUCGACCUGUCUAGCGAGACUUGGCUCUAAGUGGGGUCAAUCGCGCUUAUCAAAACCAGGGGGCCACAACACUACUGUUCAACACUAGACAGGUAGAAUAUUUAUACCUUAACGGCUGGUGUGUUGACAUUGGGAAACCACGAUGUUGGAGGCGAGUGUGUGAGAGUGUAGCCCUAACAAACUCAGGCACAUCAGGAUUUAGCUUCAAGGACCUAGAGAUACAUUUGAAUAAUCUCUGUUGUGAGGCUUUUACCCUAACAAAGUCAGGCAAAGCAAGAUUUAGCUUCAAGGAUCUGGAGAUAGAUUUGGAUAAUCUCUGUUGUUUUAUAUGCGAGGCUUUCACCCUAACAAUUCAAGGCAAUUUCAUGAUUUUGCUUCAAGGACCUGGAGAAAGAUUUGGAUAAUCUCUGUUGUUUUUUUAAGUGAGGCCUUAACCUCAACAAACUCAAAGCAAAUAAUGUUUUUAUUUCGUACACCUGGAGAACAAUUUGGAUGACUUUACUUUU